AGAGUUUGAUCCUGGCUCAGGAUGAACGCUAGCGGCAGGCCUAAUACAUGCAAGUCGAGGGGUAAAUAUGUAGCAAUAUAUAUGAGACCGGCGCACGGGUGCGUAACACGUAUGCAACCUACCUUUUACUGGGGCAUAGCUCAGAGAAAUCUGAAUUAAUUCCCCAUAACACUGCACUUCGGCAUCGGAGAGCAGUUAAAGCUCCGGCGGUAAAAGAUGGGCAUGCGGAACAUUAGCUAGUUGGUGAGGUAAUGGCUCACCAAGGCUACGAUGUUUAGGGGGUCUGAGAGGAUGAUCCCCCACACUGGUACUGAGACACGGACCAGACUCCUACGGGAGGCAGCAGUAGGGAAUAUUGGUCAAUGGACGCAAGUCUGAACCAGCCAUGCCGCGUGCAGGAUGAAUGUCCUAUGGAUUGUAAACUGCUUUUAUAUGGGAAGAAACCCCUGGAUGCGUCCGGGGCUGACGGUACCAUUUGAAUAAGGAUCGGCUAACUUCGUGCCAGCAGCCGCGGUAAGACGAAGGAUUCAAGCGUUGUCCGGAUUUACUGGGUUUAAAGGGUGCGUAGGCGGAAAGCUAAGUCAGUGGUGAAAGCCCGCAGCUCAACUGCGGAACUGCCAUUGAAACUGGCCUUCUUGAAUACAGUGGAGGUAGAUGGAAUAUAACAUGUAGCGGUGAAAUGCUUAGAUAUGUUAUAGAACACCGAUUGCGAAGGCAGUCUGCUACACUGUCAUUGACGCUGAGGCACGAAAGCGUGGGGAGCGAACAGGAUUAGAUACCCUGGUAGUCCACGCCCUAAA
rnacentral:rRNA from 1 species